AUGGGUGCCCGAGCACGGGUGACGGCGGCGACGCUCGCGAGGGCGGACGCCGGUGGCGACAUCGUCCACCAGGACGUCGACGCGCCCAAAUCCUCGGCUACUCGAACGACUUCAUGCUUGAAGAGGUUGUCAAGAAGACAAAAUCAGUUGGGAAGCUCAAACAAGAAGCUGAGAAUUGCCUAUAAUAGAGUGAAAGAUUUAACAACGAGAAGGCUGAGUUUGAGCAAGCUUCCUUCACAAAAGGUACAGUUCCUUGUCUCGACCACUUUCUUGUGUGCCUGUCGCCAGCUAGCGAUGUUUGGUUAUGCAAUUUUUGUGUGA
rnacentral:rRNA from 1 species